rnacentral:rRNA from 1 species
CCCUUAGAUGUUCUGGGCCGCACGCGCGCUACACUGAUGCAUUCAACGAGUCUAAAACCUGCUCUGAUAGGGGUGGGUAAUCUUUUGAAUGUGCAUCGUGAUUGGGAUAGAUGAUUGCAAUUUUUCAUCUUCAACGAGGAAUGCCUAGUAAACGCAAGUCAUCAGCUUGCAUUGAUUACGUCCCUGCCCUUUGUACGCACCGCCCGUCGCUCCUACCGAUUGAAUGAUCCGAUGAAUAUCAUGGAUUGAGGAUGUAAGCAGGUUCGCCUGUCUUCAUCUUCGAGAAGUGAAGUAAAUCUUAUCAUUUAGAGGAAGGAGAAGUCGUAACA